GCACCAUUCGGCACCGUGACGGUGAGCGGAAAUGAUGCAGACAAGCAGUACUGCGCCAUGUUGUGGGUAGAGGAUUGGGGCAGUGAAUGAAUUCAAACCUCACACUGUGCAGCCCUACACUCCUACCCCCACCCCCUAACACAAAUCUAGCCCACUAGCAAGGUGAACAACAGCCGCCUGUAGAGACUUAGAACAACAGCCGCCUGUAGAGACUUAGAACAACAGCCGCCUCUAGAGACUUAGAACACAACAAUCUGUGGAGACUGACAGGCAGGCGUUCUACAAACUGAAAGUAGCGAGGCAGCCAUUGGACAAGCUCUUCAAUCUUUGAAGAUAGAAAAAGUAACUGCGACUCAAAGCUUGCUGGAACAUUCAGGAACAGGAGGAACUGUCAGUUUUGUGUACAUUUCUAGAGCAACAAGCCAAGGUUGUACAUAAUGUCCUCAACCAUGUCCUAUUUUUUUAUGUUCGUGCUCUUCGUGAUUGCCAUUCUCGUGGUCAGUCGGCUACUGGCUAGUGAAUGAAGAAAAAAGGGUUGAAAAAUGGAAUGGCCACCAUCAGUCACCACACCCAGCUACCCCCAUCUUGGUCUCCACAACAUGGAACUGCAGUUAAAUUUCAGAACUAAAUUUUGGCAUCUUUUAAUUUAUCUUUGAAACACUGAAGGCUUUGGAAAAUAAAAGUGUAACAUGGGCAUUUAAGUAGUAAAGAUUCUUACAUUAAAAUAAAAAGGUAGAGAAAUAUG